GUUAGAAAACUUUCACAACAGCUGUCUCUUCACUGAUCAGCUGCUAAUCAAGUAUUUCUCAACACUGGUUCGAUACCACAGGCACAGCUGAUUCCCGCCUUUUCUCUCGGGUGUGGGAGAAGAAAAAAAAGCAAGCGAAGAAAGAGAAAGAAGAACUUUCUACUUUAUUCACGCUAUGGGAUGCCACGCCCCGACGCAACAAUGUGGGCGUAGAUGGACGCGGGCUUUGGACAGCGAUUAGGACGCUAGCAGGAACGAGCACUAUAUCAAGUGCUGAGCCCCAGAUAAAUCACAAUUCGGUGGGAAUAACUGCGGAGCGGUUGAAAAACGCGACCGGCUGCUUUCGCACUUCUGACUGAGGAGACCCCUUAAAGUAUAUAUAUUCUUCAGCAAGACAAACUGAGUCGAUAUAGCCAUGUCCGAGAAUAACACGAAACUCGACUGUAAUUAUGUACGUGGAUUAAAAUAUGGUAUAACCCAA